rnacentral:rRNA from 1 species
CGUAACAAGGUAGCUGUAGGUGAACCUUCGGCUGGAUCAUUACCGAUCCUAUGACACAUUCAUUCGUGCUCGUCACGAAGACGUGGAGCAACUUCGGUUGCGCCGCAUGAUGUGGGUUCGAUUCGUCGUCCCCGCUACUGAUUGUUCGCACGGAAGCCGAGAGGUGACCGUGCAACGGUAAAGUCUGGGUUUCUAUGCGCUGCGUUGAGUCGACGUUUUACCGUGUCGACAGAUGAGACCAGCCAGCUGCUUGCCGAUUCGUUCUGGCGAGCGUAGGAUUGAAAAGCCCGAGCGGCUGCCCUGACAAAACAUUCAUUUUACAUUUAUUUUGUUGGAAAAGAAAUUUAAGUUACUCCGGUGGAUCACUUGGCUCGCGGGUCGAUGAAGAACGCAGUGAAUUGCGAUAAUAAGUACGAAUUACAGAUAUUAUGAGUACCAUGUUUUUGAAUGCAUAUUGCGCUCUUGGGCUUUGCUCUUGAGCAUAUUCGAUUCAGGGUGUGUUGUUAAACUGAAGCAGAAACGCCGACUUGUUUUCCCAAGUUUCUGCAUUCGUGAACAGUUGUCUCGCAUCGUCGUUCGGGCGAUGUUAGGCACCAUCUGUUUGAGGAGUGCGUGCACUCCGGCCAUAUCUCUACGACUACACUGUUUGUUGCGGCGAGUACGAAAGGGCUUCGGCUCGAUUGUGCCGCCGCGGCUAAACCGUUUGGUGAUGUUGUUCAGCGGCGCGGCCGUCAAGGAUGUUCGGAUGCGAAUGUUUGAAGUCCUGGUUGCGUUUGUUGAGCGUCGUCGUGAAGCCUUGCGGGCAGUUGGUUCGGAAUUGGUUGAAACCACCUGAGUUGGGUAUGACUACCUGCUGAACUUAAGCAUAUCAGUAAGCAGAGGAAAAGAAACAAACAUGGAUUCCCUUAGUAACGGCGAGUGAAA